AAUGAACGCUGGCGGCGCGCCUAACACAUGCAAGUCGAGCGGCAGCACGGGAGCUUGCUCCUGGUGGCGAGCGGCGGACGGGUGAGGAACACGUGGGAAUCUACCUAUUGGUGGGGGAUAACUUGGGGAAACUCAAGGUAAUACCGCAUUAUCCCUACGGGGGAAAGCAGGGGACCUUCGGGCCUUGCGCCGAUAGAUGAGCCCGCGUCGGAUUAGCUAGUUGGUAGGGUAAAGGCCUACCAAGGCGACGAUCCGUAGCUGGUCUGAGAGGAUGAUCAGCCACACUGGGACGUGAGACACGGCCCAGACUCCUNACGGGAGGCAGCAGUGGGGAAUAUUGGACAAUGGGGGCAACCCUGAUCCAGCCAUGCCGCGUGUGUGAAGAAGGCCUUAGGGUUGUAAAGCACUUUCAGUGGGGAGGAAGGCUUCGUGGCUAAUAACCGUGGAGUACUUGACGUUACCCACAGAAGAAGCACCGCUAAUUU
rnacentral:rRNA from 1 species